CCUACGGGAGGCAGCAGUGGGGGAUAUUGCACAAUGGGGGAAACCCUGAUGCAGCGACGCCGCGUGGGUGAAGAAGCGCCUCGGCGCGUAAAGCCCUGUCAGCAGGGAAGAAAAUGACGGUACCUGAAGAAGAAGCCCCGGCUAACUACGUGCCAGCAGCCGCGGUAAUACGUAGGGGGCAAGCGUUAUCCGGAUUUACUGGGUGUAAAGGGGGCGCAGACGGCGCUGCAAGCCAGGAGUGAAAGCCCGGGGCCUAACCCAGGUACUGCUCUUGGAACUGCGGGGCUUGAGUGCAGGAGGGGCAGGCGGAAUUCCUGGUGUAGCGGUGAAAUGCGUAGAUAUUAGGAGGAACACCGGCGGCGAAGGCGGCCUGCUGGACUGUAACUGACGUUGAGGCCCGAAAGCGUGGGGAGCAAACAGGAUUAGAUACCCGAGUAGUC
rnacentral:rRNA from 1 species